GGCUGGUCCAAAGGUAGCCAGUUAUUUUGAUUGUUCACACAGAUUGAACUCCUUGUUCUACUCUUUUCCCAUUUCUCACUCCUGCACUUGACUAGUCUUAA
ensembl:misc_RNA Y_RNA Y RNA